UUUUCUUCUUCUUCUUCUUCUUCUCUUCCCUUCACCGCUAAGAUUUUGAAGACAUCCAAGUUCCAUUUUUUUUUUCUUUUUCCUUCUUCAAUUUGCAGAGAACUUCUAAGAGAGAGUUUGGAAGAAGAAGAGAAAUUUUACUAGAAUUGUUAGGUUGAAGAAGAGGAGGAAAACUCAAGCAAAGUGUAUCAAUGGCUGAAUUUUAGUUCAUUCUGCACAUCACUGGUUUUUAAUUCGGUUUGAACUCUUCAAAAGGAAUUAAGAGAAAACAGGGCAGUUGGUUUUCACUCGAAAUCAGGAGGUCUCUGGUUUUUCUUGUAUUUCAGAGUGUAUCGGUGGAGUUAGAAUCUCUAUUUGGUAUGGUUGGAAAGCUUAUUCAAUUUACUACAACUUUCAUGAAGAAAUUGUAAACCAAAAACGACUAAAAAUCAGUUAAAUUGUAGGGACAAGUUAAAGAGGUCGUGUGCGCGCGAUUCUGGAAGUGGUUCUGUUUUGAGGGUUAUAUGCGUUUAUGCAUGGGGAAUCAGAUUUAUAUGUCUUCAGGCCGAGAAGAAUUAAACCGAGCUUAUAGACCAAGGAUCUAGCCCAAGACUGUAGAGAUCGACUUCCCGGUGCCUGAUAGACUGCCUUAGUCUGCGGAAGCUUCAUUAUCAAUUGCCAGUACGUGUUUUGAGUUGGGCAUAGAGUCUGUUGUGUUGUGGUGUAUAUACAACCUUGUAUGUUAUAGAUACUCCACAGUUUGUAUAAGCUUUAGGAGUUGUAGUUGUGUAAAUUUUGUUGGUUAUAUUUUGAUUAAGGUGUCUUUAGGUUUACUCGUGAAAUCGGUAAAUUUUGAGGUACACUUCAUGUAUGUGUUUGAUUAGCUGUGUUUGAUUAGCUGUGUUUGACUAGCCUAGGAUCCGUUGUGUUUUGUGGCAUGUACAAUAGUUUAUAUACUAGAUUGGCAAGUUCAUCACAUGAAAGUUUUAAGCAGAGUCGACAGAUACAGGUACAAAAAAGCGUUGUUCGUCGACUUCACGCCAUCUUUCGGUCUAAGGUAGCAGGUAGUCCGGGAGGGGGUGUGACACGAGGCCAGAGAGGCGUUCAGGAAAGAGGAGGAUCAGACAUUUGUGUGAGUGACCUUAAACUAAACACUUUAGUGUGAGUGACUUUUCUAAGCUAAACACUCAUUCGUGGGUGAUUUGUAAACUAAACGUUUUGUAAUGUUUUCUUAAUAGACUCCUUCUGAGUCUAAGCUAUUCAAAAUGCAUCUUGUAUAUCUCUGUAUUAUUGUGAUUAUUGUUGUUUAAAAAGAGAAAACUAUUG